UGGGGAAUAUUGCACAAUGGGCGCAAGCCUGAUGCAGCCAUGCCGCGUGUAUGAAGAAGGCCUUCGGGUUGUAAAGUACUUUCAGCGGGGAGGAAGGUGUUGAGGUUAAUAACCUCAGCAAUUGACGUUACCCGCAGAAGAAGCACCGGCUAACUCCGUGCCAGCAGCCGCGGUAAUACGGAGGGUGCAAGCGUUAAUCGGAAUUACUGGGCGUAAAGCGCACGCAGGCGGUCUGUCAAGUCGGAUGUGAAAUCCCCGGGCUCAACCUGGGAACUGCAUCCGAAACUGGCAGGCUAGAGUCUUGUAGAGGGGGGUAGAAUUCCAGGUGUAGCGGUGAAAUGCGUAGAGAUCUGGAGGAAUACCGGUGGCGAAGGCGGCCCCCUGGACAAAGACUGACGCUCAGGUGCGAAAGCGUGGGGAGCAAACA
rnacentral:rRNA from 1 species